CUCUGUAGGUCACAGAUCCUCUGAAGUUAACAGCACUCACACCCUCAGCGUUGCUGGGGUUCUUUGUUCUCAGAGCCUGCCUGCACUGCCCUCCCCUGGUUGUCUCCUGCUUGUUCAGUUUUUCUCCUAUUUCUCUAUAAAAAUCAACAUUAUUUCCUACCUUCCAGCUCCUGUCAUUUACCACUUCUUCGACAUUUAGUUCUGACUGCAUCCAUUUCAACUGCAAGAGAAAAAUAGGAAUUCUGAACUGUAAAGAGUUAAAACUAUAGCACCCAGUGCUGGAGGAAUGGUGAUAGGGUAGAUACAGGCAGAUCCUGGGGACCUGCUGGCCAGCCAAUUUAGCUAACACUGCAAGCUCCCACAUGAGUGAGACCCUGCCUCAAAAAAUAAGCUGGAGAAGUGAUUGAGGAAGACAUCCCGACAUAACCUCUGGCCUCACGUACACCAGCGCAGAAGACCAUACCCCACCCCCCAUAUGUACUCAUAUACAACAUAAAGAGAAAAUCAAUUUUUACAAAGCAUAUGUAAUGUGCAUUAAUUAGUAAGCUGUCAUUUUUGUUUGAGCUCUCUGAGACACUGGCCCUGGAAGCACUGUCCCUCCACAAUUCAGACCCAAGCAUGCCUGUCUCAAGGCGUCCUCCAAGGCCCUGUGUCUAGGGAUGAGCUGGCCCUACUCACUCUGUGACAGGGAGGAAAAGAGCAGCAAACCAGCUCAAGAAUAAAAUUUCCCUGAAAACUAGGAAGCACGGCAUUUCUAAUGGACAUCACCACUGCUUCUAUCAGACAGAAACACGCCUCCAAGGGAAGGAGGCCAGAAGUUCAGCUACAGGAAGCUCAUCCACGGAGAGAAAGCUCACCGGAACUGCCAGCUGACUGCCUCCCCGUUAGGAUGUUAUUCCACCCGGAAGCCUCACCCAGGGGACACUGGCCUGCCUGGGACUCCUAGUGGAGCUUUCCCCAGCCAAUUCCUGCUAGAUAAUUCAAGAACCCAAAUCAAUGGUGUUCCACAUGGGGAAUGUUAAGACCUGUGCUGGAGGAAGCGAGGAUGUACCCAAGGAAAGCAGGCCUCCCAUGUGCCUACUGUUGAUCAAGGCGGAAACACCUUCUGUGCCUGACACUGUGGUUACAGAGGCCAGCAAGGGAGAUCAGAUCAUCUAGCACUGGAGUUACAGCAGUUGUGAGCCUCCAUUUGGAUGCGAGGAAUCAAACCAAGAUCCUCUGGAAGAGCAGCCAGCAUCCUAAACCACUGAGCCAGCCAUCUCUCCAGACCCAACCACCCAAUUUUUCCAAUGGCUUCUCAAGAUCCAAACUUCAGUCCUCAUACUUCAUAGCAAACAAUUUAUCCACUGAUUCAUCCUCCCAACCAUGUCCUGAUCACUUUUUAAAAGUAAUAACCAUAACUUACUUGAAACUGUACGUAUUAAAACUCCAUUUUGAAGGUUGUAUCUGGGGCCUUUGGUUAGAAAUGUAAGGUCUACUCAGCUUACCUUUGUCUGUUCUUUUCUAAGUCGCUUUAAUAACGUUAAGUCAUCCAGGUUCUUUUCUCUCUCUUCUCGGAGACUUUUUACUACUGCUGAGGUCUGGGCUAUACAGUUCUUUAUAACUCUGUCCCUACUGAC
rnacentral:lncRNA from 1 species